rnacentral:lncRNA from 1 species
GUCAUAUCAUUGAUCUUUCAUUUAUUUUCUCUGAUCCUCACCAUCUAUCUCCAUCAAGAGCAAAGGAGGAAAGAUCAAAGAAGGGGGAAUGUACACUUAAUCAUCUGGAUUCUUCAAGUUCAUCAUUCAGCAAUCUUUAUCAUUAGUGAGUCAUUUCUUGACCUUUACAACUGGUUCUUCUGGGCUGAUUGGAAAAAACCACCUGUAUGAAGUAUCACUAGGAAGGUUCACAGAACGG